GACGAACGCUGGCGGCGUGCUUAACACAUGCAAGUCGAACGGAAAGGCCCUGCUUUUGUGGGGUGCUCGAGUGGCGAACGGGUGAGUAACACGUGAGUAACCUGCCCUUGACUUUGGGAUAACUUCAGGAAACUGGGGCUAAUACCGGAUAGGAGCUCCUGCUGCAUGGUGGGGGUUGGAAAGUUUCGGCGGUUGGGGAUGGACUCGCGGCUUAUCAGCUUGUUGGUGGGGUAGUGGCUUACCAAGGCUUUGACGGGUAGCCGGCCUGAGAGGGUGACCGGCCACAUUGGGACUGAGAUACGGCCCAGACUCCUACGGGAGGCAGCAGUAGGGAAUAUUGCACAAUGGGCGGAAGCCUGAUGCAGCAACGCCGCGUGCGGGAUGACGGCCUUCGGGUUGUAAACCGCUUUCGCCUGUGACGAAGCGUGAGUGGCGGUAAUGGGUAAAGAAGCACCGGCUAACUACGUG
rnacentral:rRNA from 1 species